UGGGUCUCGCUCGUUGCCUGACUUAACAGGAUGCUUCACAGUACGAACUGACGACGGCCAUGCACCACCUCUCAGCUAAUCCGGCAAAGUCUUCAGCCUGGCCUUCAUAUUGCUGUCGGUCCCGGUAAGAUUUCCGGCGUUGAAUCCAAUUAAACCGCAAGCUCCACCCGUUGUGGUGCUCCCCCGCCAAUUCCUUUAAGUUUCAGCCUUGCGGCCGUACUUCCCAGGUGGCUCGCUUCACGGCUUCCCUACGGCACCGACAACGGUCGCACCGUGGCCGACACCUAGCGAGUAUCGUUUACGGCUAGGACUACCCGGGUAUCUAAUCCGGUUCGUGCCCCUAGCUUUCGUCCCUUGCCGUCAGGUCCGUUCUGGUGAGACGCCUUCGCCACUGGUGGUCCUUCAAGGAUUACAAGAUUUCACCCCUACCCCUGAAGUACCUCUCACCUCUCCCGGCCUCGAGCCAGACAGUAUCUCCUGAAAGCCUGACAGUUAAGCUGCCAGAUUUCUCAAGAGACUUAUCCGGCCGGCUACAGACCCUUUAGACCCAAUAAUAACGGUUACCACUCGAGCCGCCGGUGUUACCGCGGCGGCUGGCACCGGUCUUGCCCGGCCCUUGCUAUGAAAUGCUUUUUAGGCAUCUCGACAGCCAGAUUUGUAACCUGGCACUCGAGGUUCCCUUAUCGCUGUUGCCAGCAUUGUAAAGUUUUCGCGCCUGCUGCACCCCGUAGGGCCUGGAUUCGUGUCUCAGAAUCCAUCUCCGGGCUCUUGCUCUCACAACCCGUACCCGUCGUAGGCUAGUAGGUACGCUACACCCACUACUACCUGAUAGGCCGCAGACCCAUCCUUAGGCGCCGGAGCUUUUAAUCUCGGUGCAUUCCAGCAGCCGAGACUUAUAGGGGAUUAUACCCAGUUUCCCGGGUUUAUACCCAACCUAAGGGCAGGUUGUCCACGUGUUACUGAGCAGUACGCCAUGUAUUGCUACAUUCGACUCGCAUGGCUUAGUCGAACCUCGAUAGCAGUAACCUCUGGCAGGAUCAACCGG
rnacentral:rRNA from 1 species